rnacentral:hammerhead_ribozyme from 1 species
AUCCAGCUGACGAGUCCUAAGUAAGACGAAACAUGCGUCCUGGAU